UCCCUGGUGGUUCAGUGGUAAAGAAUCUGCCUGCAAUGCAGGAGUUGCAGGAGACCCAGGUUCAAUUCCUGGGAUGGGAA
rnacentral:tRNA from 1 species